rnacentral:lncRNA from 1 species
AAUAUGCGCAAACCGACUUUGAGCACAUUAUCUAGGGUUUUUGUUUGCUUUUUAAUUUCCGUUUGCCUUGCACAUUCUUGCAUUAUGUGACUUUGAUUCACAUCCUCGCAUCCCGAUUUUAAUCUGUGCACGUCCCGAUUUUACUUCUUUUAAUUUAAUUUGUGAAUGUCUUGUAAAUAUAACUUGUUGUGUUGUUUAUUUUCUUCACAUGGCUUACUCUUUGGCCUUUUUACAAUGAGAC